rnacentral:tRNA from 1 species
CAGUAUGUAGUUUAUGUAAAAUAUAAUAUUUGGGUUAUUAAGAAUUUGUUACUGAG